rnacentral:misc_RNA from 1 species
CGAGGGGUGGCCAUCAGUGGUUGGCGUUUUCAGGAACAAGUUAACCCCAAAAUCAGGAGGAAGCUUAGAUCGUCGCGGAGACCGAAGGUUUUUGGGUAGCUUCUUUCUGUAGCGUGCUUUUGUAUUGGAAUGGGCAAUCAAAGUUAAAGCUAUCUUACUUUUCCUAGAAAAAUUACUUCCCAAAGGCACUAUUUGAUACAGNNNACAAGAAUUUACAAUCCAUUUUCUUCAAAAUGGAAAUCAAAAAGGUUGAAACUUUCAGUUCUAAGGCAUUCUAACAGAAAUUUUGUCGAACAUGUGGUGUGCCAUUACCUCGCCAGUAAUCUUAAACCACUUCAAUAUCCCAACUAGGAUGGCUGUGUUCACGUUUUGCCGAGUGCUGACACAGUCGGGGAUGUUAAGGCAUGAACCAUAAAGAACGUG